AAAAAUCACAAGUUGUAAUAGAAAGAGUUUUAUAACCCCUUUGUAAAUAUGGAUUUCAAGUACUUUUAGAAUUUUAUUACGAUACCACAUAGGGUUUGACUAUAUACAUCCGAUAUAUUUUGAUUAAGUGAUGGUUCAUUAGCUUCCAUAUUUUAUUUGUUGUGUAGUUCACGAGACUACUCUCAGAAGAAGCGAGUGAUGCUACUGACGAAAUGAUGGAGCAAGAGAUGGCUUUAGCUAAAUUAAUGCUAGGGCUUGUUGGAACUAUCAAGGAUUGGGCUAAUGAAAUAUUUAAGAGGCCGGAGGAUCAAAAGUCAACCAGGAAAAGAAACAGGAUGCAUUUUGGCAGCCUGCUUAUACAUUUAUUGUAGACAAGAGGACAAGCCACAAACUAUUAAGAGUUUAUAAAAUCAUUUAUGAAUCAUUUAUAAAUUUUAUAAGAGCUUAUAAAACCUUGUAUCAACCUUCUAUA